UUACGGUCAUAUCAGGUUGAAACACCAGUUCACGUACGAUCACCAAAGUUAAGCAACAGCUAGACUGGUCAGUACCUACAUGGGUGACCACUUAAGAAUACCAGAUGUUGUAAG